GAUGAACGCUAGCGACAGGCUUAACACAUGCAAGCCGAGGGGUAACUGGGAGCUUGCUCUGCUGACGACCGGCGCACGGGUGAGUAACGCGUAUGCAACCUACCCAUAUUUGGGGGAUAACCCGGAGAAAUUCGGAUUAACACCGCAUAAUAUCAUUGGAAGGCAUCUUUUGAUGAUUAAAUAUUUAUAGAAUAUGGAUGGGCAUGCGUCUGAUUAGUUUGUUGGUGAGGUAAUGGCUCACCAAGACUACGAUCAGUAGGGGUUCUGAGAGGAAGGUCCCCCACACGGGUACUGAGACACGGACCAGACUCCUACGGGAGGCAGCAGUGAGGAAUAUUGGUCAAUGGGCGAGAGCCUGAACCAGCCAAGUCGCGCGAAGGAAGACGGCCCUAUGGGUUGUAAACUUCUUUUGUAGGGGGGUAAAAUGCGCCACGUGUGGUGUAUUGCAAGUACCCUACGAAUAAGGAUCGGCUAACUCCGUGCCAGCAGCCGCCGUAAAAC
rnacentral:rRNA from 1 species